rnacentral:snRNA from 1 species
GUAUCUUCGGAUAUAUAUGCUAAAAUUGGAACGAUACAGAGAAGAUUAGCACGACCCCUGCGCAAGGAUGACAAGCAAAAUCGUAAGGCGUUCCAUAUUUCU